AUUGAACGCUGGCGGCAUGCCUAACACAUGCAAGUCGAGCGGAGCGGCGGACGGGUGAGUAAUGCCUAGGAAUCUGCACGGUAGUGGGCGAUACCGUCCGGAAACGGGCGACAAUACCGCAUACUAUCAGAUGAGAUUAGGGCGGAUUGGCUAGUUGGUGGGGUAAAGGCCUACCAAGGCGACGAUCCGUAACUGGUCCGAGAGGAUGAUCAGUCACACGGGAACUGCGACACGGCCCAGACUCCUACGGGAGGCAGCAGUGGGGAAUAUUCGACAAUGGGCGAAAGCCUGAUCGAGCAAUGCCGCGUGUGUGAAGAAGGUCUUCGGAUUGUAAAGCACUUUAGUUUGGGAGGCGGUACCAAAAGAAUAAGCACCGGCUAACUUCGUGCCAGCCGCCGCGGUAAUUC
rnacentral:rRNA from 1 species